UCUAACAUUCUCCCAUCCUGCAGGCCUGAGUCCAGACCGAGACCCAGAGAAAUGUAAACAAACGCACCAGUCAGACUUGAUAUAGGAGUGAAUUUGUUGCUUUUUAAAGCGGCAGUCGGUCUGUACAUGUGUGAGGUGGCGAGGGGUGUCGCCAGGGGGCGGCUAGUAGCGUCUGCCACCAGGGAAAUAUGUAAAAACAUAAAAAAGACGCUUCUCAAGAAAGAGAGGGGCAGUCGGUCUGUACAUGCGUGAGGUGGCGAGAGGCGUGUCCAGGGGGCGGCUAGUAGCGUGUGCCACCGUGGAAAUAUGUACAGACAUAAAGAAGACGCCCUCAAGAAAGAGAGGGGCAGUCGGUCUGUACAUGCGUGAGGUGGCGAGAGGCGUGUCCAGGGGGCAGCUGGUAACGUGUGCCACCGUGGAAAAAUAUGCAGACAUAAAGAAGACGCCCUCAAGAAAGGCCUGAGUCCAGACCGAGACCCAGAGAAAUGUAAACAAACGCACCAGUCAGACUUGAUAUAGGAGUGAAUUUGUUGCUUUUUAAAGCGGCAGUCGGUCUGUACAUGUGUGAGGUGGCGAGGGGUGUCGCCAGGGGGCGGCUAGUAGCGUCUGCCACCAGGGAAAUAUGUAAAAACAUAAAAAAGACGCUUCUCAAGAAAGGCCUGAGUCCAGACCGAGACCCAGAGAAAUGUAAACAAACGCACCAGUCAGACUUGAUAUAGGAGUGAAUUUGUUGCUUUUUAAAGCGGCAGUCGGUCUGUACAUGUGUGAGGUGGCGAGGGGUGUCGCCAGGGGGCGGCUAGUAGCGUCUGCCACCAGGGAAAUAUGUAAAAACAUAAAAAAGACGCUUCUCAAGAAAGAGAGGGGCAGUCGGUCUGCACAUGCGUGAGGUGGCGAGAGGCGUGUCCAGGGACGGCUAGUAGCGUGUGCCACCGUGGAAAUAUGUACAGACAUAAAGAAGACGCCCUCAAGAAAGG